AAAGCUUCCUUCUUCGCAUAUCAGCCUUGGGAAACGCUUCGUCCAUGCUACCAGCCAUGAAAGACGUGCAUGCGUGUUACUCACUGCCUUGCUAUCUAAUAUUUUCUCGUAUGACGUGUGGGUGGCCAGACAAGAGAGAGAACACUACUUAGAGCACCACAGACACUAACACUGGGCCCACUGUCACCUAUACGUGCCCAGCUGACUCUCUU